UAAACCUCUCUCUACCCCUCUUUAAUCUGUCUUCUGGAGAGUACGACGAUGACAGCCACUGAAACAACAACCGGUGAAUUGAUGGAUUCAAUCAAAAUCGAUGGACAGGAAAGGGGAUAAAGCACCAGAAACUUCACUCGCUCAACAGUUCCUUAAAUUUGCGUCGACUGUAGCCGAAUUCAAUCUUCAAACAUUUCCAAACUAUACAUAAUUGCUUGGGAAUGCUGUACUCAACCACCGAUUCUUCCAUCAUCAUACCUCAACAGUCCAUCGGAUUUUGACUAAUCGGUAGCUUCCAGCUCCUAUUCCACCUCCAUCGACGAGGGUUUUUCUACCUCUCUCUAUAGUCGAUCGUUGCCAACGUCGCUCAAUUGGGUUCAGCUACUAAGGGUAAGCUUGGUUUUUUUUCUCGAUUUUACACUGAUUUCUGCUACUUUGAUGAUCUGCUUCUCGUUAUCAAGAAGAAUGGUCUGCUUUUAGAGGAUGUAUCGAGAAUUAAAUAUAAAAAAGAAAAGUAUGUCGCUUUUUUACAUCAGAAUAUACACAGUUUCCUUCAAUCAGCUGCUUUCCUUUGAUGAUCUGUUUAACAUAAUAUUGCUACAGGGGUUUGAAGUUAUAAGUGAUGCUUGAUGCCCUUUUUGUUAAGGGUAAAUGUGUCAAUAUUGAAUUAAGUAGAAACUCGAGGGCUGAUGCACACUUGGUCAUAUUGUGAAGGGUAAAUAUGUCAAUAUUGAGUGUAGUAUAAAGUGUAGGUGUGAGGGGUGCAAAUGAGCCAAGCUACUCGCGAGCUAUUCGGGAUCGGUUCGUUAAAAGCUCGACUCGAAACCGAUUUUAAACGAGCCCGAGCCGAGCUCGAGCUUAAUAUUUAGCUCGUUUAUAAAACGAGCUCGAGCUCGAGCCUCUGUAACUAAGCUCGAUUAGGCUUGCGAGCCUAAACGAGCCUUUAUAAAAUAUAAUUUAUUAUUAUUUUCUUAUAUUAAUAUAAAAACAUAUUUGGGAAAUUAUGGAUUUCGGUUAUUAGUAAACGAGCUUCUUAACGAGCUUGAGCCGAACUUAAGCUUAUUUAGACACAUCACACGAAAAACGAGCCGAGCCCCAAGCCCGAGCCGAGCUUGUAUAAUUCUUUAUGAGCUCAAGCCGAGCUCAGUAAAAGAAAGCUCGAAUCGAGCCGAGCUCGAACUCGAGCCUCGUAUAACUUAAACAAGCCCGAGUCGAGCCUGGCUCGGGCUCGUUUGCACCCGUAGGUGUGAUGCACUCUUGCUCAAAACUUAACUUUAUCAUUCUUCAAAUCGGAAUUUUAGAUUGUUGUGGUUUGUUUCCAGAAUUGUGAGAUUUGACUUUUGUCAUAUUGACUAAUUUGAAUGGAAUUUUUCAUGAUUUGUCCGUACUUGGUCCAGUAAAGUGCAUAAUAAGAUUUGGUCAAAAGGUUGAAGUUUGAAUUUAUAUUGAUCUAUUUUGUUUUACUUUUGAUGUGAAUGUUAGCCACCAUAAGAUUUGGCUGCUUUAAUUCAUUUCUAAUUGCUGCUAUUUAAAAUGGGUUAACUAACAAUGUACUUUCAAUUAUGUUUCCACUUGUAGCAAUAAAAAUUUAUGUUACAAAUGACAUUUUCCAAAACAUUUUUUUUCAUGUAACGCAACUACAUUUGAAAAUCUGAAAAAAAAAAGUGUCUUCCGAACAAUACGAAGCAUGUGUCCCUGCACUAGUUUAUAAUAAAAUUUUAUAGUUUAUAGAAUCAUUAUAAUUUAAAAAGAAAAUGUAAAUUGACCAUUUUGGUCCAUAAUAUCAAAACCCCUUUUGACAUAAAAUGAAUUGACCAAUUCGAAAUUGACCUUAAUUUAUAUUUGUUUCAAAUGAAGAAGGAAGCCAAGGAACAAAGUUUAGGAGUUUGCAUCAGUAAUUGUGAAGAAAGGAGAAUUUAACAUCAUUUUUUAGUUCAUUUUCUAUCCACAACAAUUAGCCAAAGGAAAAGUAAAAUAUAGAAACAUAAGCUAAUGCAUUAUAGCAAAACGAACUCAGCUAAAAAUGAUAUUAGAUAUUGAGCAAAGCAAAAGAAAGAACUAGUGCGUUUCCAAUGUAAAUACAACCCUAAAACCCCUCUGAUCAGAUUGAACCCAGACGAUUCCAGACGACGAAAAAUCUUUCUGAAGGCGAUUUCUGAUGCUUUUCAUCACUUUCUGAAUAUCUGAAGGCUGUUGAUCAUCUCCUACAUUUAGUUUAGCAAGAUUAAUAAGUUAUUAUAUAUGUUUAUUAGUUUUAUUCAGAUU
rnacentral:lncRNA from 1 species